UGCCAUUUCGGUGGUGAUUAGUGGCGAACGGGUGAGUAACACGUGAGUAACCUGCCCCCCUCUUUGGGAUAACGUUCGGAAACGGACGCUAAUACUGGGAUAUGACUGCGCUUCNAUGGGGUGUGGUGGAAGUUUUUCGGUGGGGGAUGGGCUCGCNGCUAUCAGCUUGUUGGUGGGGUGAUGGCCUACCAAGGCGACGACGGNUAGCCGGCCUGAGA
rnacentral:rRNA from 1 species